UACGUAGGGUGCAAGCGUUGUCCGGAAUUAUUGGGCGUAAAGAGCUCGUAGGCGGUCUGUCGCGUCGGCUGUGAAAAACCCGGGGGCUCAACCCCCGGGCCUGCAGUCGAUACGGGCAGACUAGAGUGCGGUAGGGGGAGACUGGAAUUCCUGGUGUAGCGGUGAAAAUGCGCAGAUAUCAGGAGGAACACCGGUGGCGAAGGCGGGUCUCUGGGCCGUAACUGACGCUGAGGAGCGAAAGCGUGGGGAGCGAACAGG
rnacentral:rRNA from 1 species